rnacentral:misc_RNA from 1 species
GUGGGAGGGGGCUUGCUCCCGAUAGCGGUGGACCCGUCAGCUCAUCUGUGGCUGACCCACCCCAAUCGGGAGCAAGCCCCCUCCCAC